CGGCAACAGCUCAAAUUUGAAAUCUGGCCUCUUUCGGGGUCCGAGUUGUAAUUUGUAGAGGAUGCUUUUGACAAGGUGCCUUCCGAGUUCCCUGGAACGGGACGCCAUAGAGGGUGAGAGCCCCGUCUGGUCGGAUACCGCGUCUCUGUAAAGCUCCUUCGAC
rnacentral:rRNA from 1 species